AUUGGUGAGUUACCAUUCUUUGGAUUCAUUGGUUUAAAAAAAAUAAGUCACGCCUACUUAAGAUCCACUUUGAAUAGUUUCCUACCCCCGAGAUCGAAACUCCAUAGAGAGUUUACUGAGAGUUUACUGUAUAUUUACGUUCUGUCACAUGCGCCAGUAUCCCGAUUUUUCUAGUGCUUAUAGCGGUACAAUAAAUACUUAUCUUUUUACACAAAUAAUAAAUAUGAUGACAACAGUAUUAAUUACAGUAAUAAUAAUAAUAAUUGUUAUUGAUCAACAUAAUGCUCAAUUAAACUUUUAAAUUGUAAUUAAUCAUUACAACAAUUAUCAACAAUAAAUAAUAUUUAUAAAAUUAUUAUCCGCGAAAGAUCGACAGUAAAUUUUCAUAAUUAAUUUUGAUAUUUUGUUCCUACUGUUAGUUUAUAAUUUAUCGAAUUUUAACGGAGGCUGAUAGCGGGAUGUCAACUACGAAACUCAAAAAAGUGGUCAAGUGGUCGCUGGUUGGACUCAGUACCUGCUGAUGAAGGGGAGAGACAUUACGGGCAGGGUUAUAACCUAGUCAAACUACUAAUAAAUUAUUAAUUAUUAAUAUUUAUUAUUUUUUUCAAUAGACCAAAAGGUAUUUAUCGCGUGCCAAAAGCAUACGAGCGUUCUUUCCGAUGGAAAUUAUCACAAUUUAGGUUCUUGUGCCAAACAAAUGCGUUACCUAAUCAUAUUAAAAUGAGUGUCAGCCGACAAACACUUUUUGAAGAUUCUUAUCAUCAGAUAAUGAACGCUGAGGCGUUUGCGUUGAGACGGAGAUUGUAUAUUAUAUUUAAAGGUGAAGAGGGAUUAGAUUACGGUGGAGUUUCGAGAGAAUGGUUUUUCUUACUAGCCACGAAGUUUUGAAUCCAAUGUACUGUUUAUUUGAGUAUGCUAAUAAGAGUAAUUAUAGUUUACAAAUAAAUCCGGCGUCUUAUGUUAAUCCAGAUCAUCUGCAAUAUUUUAAAUUUAUUGAAAGAUUCAUCGCAAUGGCUUUAAAUCAUGGGCGAUUUAUCUAUAGUGGAUUUACGAUGCCGUUUUACAAACGAAUGUUGAAUGAAAAAUAAAUAAUGAAAGAUAUUGAAUCUAUUGAUCCUGAGUUUUACAAGUCGCUUGGCUGAUGGAUAAAAGAAAAUAACAUUGACGAAUGUUACUUAGAACUGUAUUAUAGUGUUGACUUUGAAGUACCUCGGUCAAGUUAUUCAUCAUGAACUGUUGGUGGAUUUGCAGAAUUAAUGGAUAAAGAAGUAAUGGACCGCAACGAUUUUGUAUUGAAAAAGUUGGCAAGGAUACUUGGCUACCAAGAUCUCAUAAUUGUUUCAACAGAUUAGAUUUACCGCUGUACAAAAGUUACGACCAGGUGGUGGAAAAAUUGAAUUACGCAAUAGAAGAAACUGAAGGUUUUGGUCAAGAAUAGUAUCACAAUUUAUUCAAAAAAUAUAUAUAAAUCCAUCGAAUUGUUAUAUAAAUUGUUAUCAGAAUUAUCACUGUCAAUUUAAUAGGUAUGUUGUGUAAUUUAAAUUAUAAAUUACAACCCAAGUACAGAAUCAUAGGAAAAAAAAAUAAUUAAAGCUAAAUUUAUUAUUAAAAUUUUUUUUAAUUUUCUAUUAAAGAAAAAAAAGAUUUUAUAAUUUAGUUGUUUUAUUUGCACAUUAUUGACGUAAUUAUUUAUUUUCUUACCCGUGUAGAAAAAAUUUUCCAAAAAAGUUCGACAUGUGGAAAUUCAAAACUUGAGACAAUCUUGAACUUCGAGUGAAACUUUUUUUGAACUUUUGCAGUUUGAUAGUACAAAAAAGUUUACCUAGGAUUUUAUAUCCGAAAUUUGAGUAAAAAAAAAAUGUAUUGAAACAUUUUUUUCAAAUUUAAUUUUUACCCUCGUUUCGAAAAAGUUAAAAAAUCUCUGAUUAAUUUGGAACUUCUUAUGAACGAUUUUUGAUUCUUAUCGAGCUGUUGGUUUUUAGUGGAAACUUUUUCGGAACGAGGGUAAAAUAUAGAAAAAAAAAAUGUUAUUUUUUACUCAAAAAUUCGCUUAUAAAAUUCUAGAUAAACUUUUUUUUUUACUAUCAAAUUUACAUUUCAAAAAAAAUUUUUCACUUGAAAUUCUAAUCAGUCUCAAGUUUAGAAUUUCCACAUGUCGAAUUUUUUUUUACGAGUCUUCCGGUUGUACUUUUGAAAGCAAUAAUUUUUAUAUAUAAAGUUUUUAAAAAAAUUACUAUUCUCUUCAACCAAAAAAAUUUUUAAACUGUCCAACAAUUGGCUGUCAAUGAAAUGAAAAAAAAAAUCCAUGUGCAAUUUUAUAAUCAUCGAUGUUUUAAACAAUCGGAUGUCAUGAUUAAAUUUAGAUUAAAAAAUACAAUUUCUUUUCAUGUAUAUCAGUUAUAAGUUAAUGUAUAUAAAAAAAAAGUAAAUGCGGUAAAAUAAAAAAAUAAAUAUCA